rnacentral:rRNA from 1 species
UACGUAGGGUGCAAGCGUUGUCCGGAAUUAUUGGGCGUAAAGAGCUCGUAGGCGGUCUGUCGCGUCGGCUGUGAAAACCCGAGGCUCAACCUCGGGCCUGCAGUCGAUACGGGCAAACUAGAGUACUGCAGGGGAGACUGGAAUUCCUGGUGUAGCGGUGAAAUGCGCAGAUAUCAGGAGGAACACCGAUGGCGAAGGCAGGUCUCUGGGCCACUACUGACGCUGAGAAGCGAAAGCAUGGGGAGCGAACAGG